GGGAAGUGCGCACUCCCGGCGGCGGGCAGGCUCUCCCGCGGCGCGCUGCUCGGACGCAGGCCGGCUCGGCGGAGCAGACGGAGGCAGGAUGGCAAAACAGAAAAGAAAAGUUAGAGAAGUGACAGAGGAAAAGAACAAAAAGUUGAAGAAGGUGGCAGUAGAGGAGCUCCUGCUCGCACCUGAAACCACGUCGAAUGAAAAGGAAGCACCCCCAGAGGCUCUCGGGAUGGCGUGCUUUUCAAGGAGAGGGAGCGGAGCGGACCCAGGUGGUGACGAAGGGCAAGAAGGGUCGGGCGCUGCGGAGAAGGAUCGCGCCCGCUGCCUGGCUGCCCCCGUCCCAGGAUGAGCCGCCGGGAUCCAGCACGGAGAACGGAGCAGCCCCUCGCCCUUCUGGCCAUUGUGUGGUCCCC
rnacentral:lncRNA from 1 species